rnacentral:rRNA from 1 species
UCCCAGACUCCUACGGGAGGCAGCAGUGAGGAAUAUUGGUCAAUGGCCGGAAGGCUGAACCAGCCAAGCCGCGUGAAGGACGAAGGUGCCAAGCAUUGUAAACUUCUUUUGUCAAGGGACAAAAUCAGGCUCGAGAGCCUGACCGAGGGUACUUGAAGAAAAAGCAUCGGCUAACUCCGUGCCAGCAGCCGCGGUAAUACGGAGGAUGCGAGCGUUAUCCGGAUUUAUUGGGUUUAAAGGGUGCGCAGGCGGGCUGUUAAGCCGGCGGUAAAAAUUCAGGGCUCAACCCUGUCGAGCCGUCGGAACUGGCAGUCUUGAGUGGGCGAGAAGUAUGCGGAAUGCGUGGUGUAGCGGUGAAAUGCAUAGAUAUCACGCAGAACGCCGAUUGCGAAGGCAGCAUACCGGCGCCCAACUGGCGCUGAGGCACGAAAGCGUGGGGAUCGAACAGGAUUAGAUACCCCUGUA